UUAUGAUAAGCCGCCCACAUGUUAGGUCCUUUGGGAUUAUUAAACGAUUUGAUAAGUAUUCCAGAAAACACAGGAUUUUGUUUGAUAACGGACAUAGUGAAUUUCUUGACAUGUCAAAGGAGGAUUGGAUACCUAUACCAAAAUGACAUAAUUGCGAGGUAAGAAAAUGAAUUGACAUUUGAAGAAAACUGUGAAGGGCUUCGAAAUGAGCAGUAGAAUUUUUAGAUUCUCUUUAAA